CCUACGGGAGGCAGCAGUGAGGAAUAUUGGUCAAUGGGCGAGAGCCUGAACCAGCCAAGUCGCGUGAAUGAUGACGGCUCUACGGGCUGUAAACUCUAUUAGCCAGGGAGCAAUUGGGUCCACGUGUCGGCGUAGCGAGAGCACCCGACGUACAAGCAUCGGCUAACAUCGUGCCAGCAGCCGCGGUAACACGGUGGAUCCGAGCGUUAUCCGGAUUUAUUGGGUUUAAAGGGAGCGUAGAUGGGUUGUUAAGUCAGUUGUGAAAGUUUGCGGCUCAACCGUAAAAUUGCACUGGAUACUGGCAGUCUUGAGUACAGUUGAGGUAGGCGGAAUUCGUGGUGUAGCGGUGAAAUGCUUAGAUAUCACGAAGAACCCCGAUUGCGAAGGCAGCUUACUAAACUGUGACUGACAUUGAUGCUCGAAGGUGUGGGUAUCAAACAGGAUUAGAUACCCCAGUAGUC
rnacentral:rRNA from 1 species